GAGGACCACGAACAAGAAUGCCUGCUCAGCCUAGGAACAGUACAGGAAAUGGAGCUGUUGGGUGCCUGUUGUAGGAAGGGUCAGCAACUGAGAAUGCUCCUCUGACAUACUUUGUUCCUACUCACCCAAGGCUGCUGAGAUGUCCAUUGACCCAGAGAGUCAAAGUGUUUUCUCCACCGUGAGAUGAUUGAGAACUCAAAAUCUCCCAGUUUUCAGAUGCCUGCUCAAUACAUCAGCUGGAGAAUCCGACUUGCUUUGUCAAAAUGAAAUUGAACUAGAAACAGAGAUAAAAAUGAAGAGAGAAAGAGAGAGUUCAUAUUCUCUACUUCACUCCUUGAAUGUCCACAAUGACCAGGACUGGUCCAAGCCAAAGCCAGAAGCUGAGAACUCAAUCUGAGUGUCCCACAGGAGUGGCAGAGACAUAACUACUUAAAUGGCCACCUACCACCUCCUGGAAUGUGCAUUAUCCAAAAGCUGGAAGAAAGAGCAGAGCCAGAACUUGAACACAGACACUCAGAUAUGGAACACACACAGGCAUCCCAGCUGGUGGCUUCACUGCUAGACCAAAUGCCAACCCCUGAAUGUUCCUGGGAAAACUCAAAAUUAAGGCUGUGGCAACCUGGAGGACUUCCUGCAAGCAGCUGGACAGAAGAGUGCACUCACCUUGCCAAGGAGGCAGCAGGUGAUGACUCAAGUAACUGAGUUCCUGUCACUUACUUGGAAGACGUGGACUGAGUGCCUGGCUCCUGGCUUCAACCUGGCCUACCCCUGGCCAUUGUAGACAUUUGAGUUGUAAAUCAUUACAUGGAAGGUCUAAGUAAAUAAAUAAAUAAUUCCUUGUAUAUGUCUGAUUCUCUGAAUUAUAAUAUUUUAGCCUUUUUUCUAAAAAGUACAAUGUGUUUUUUUCUUUGUAAUAGAUUACCUCCAUACAUAGUGGCUUAAAACAACAGUUUCAUUAGCUCAUGAUUCUGUGAUCUGUCUAUUUGGGCUAUGUUAACCUUGGCAGUUCUUUUGCUAGUCUUCCCUGGGUUCCCUCACUUGGCUACACAUAGCUGAUGGGCUUGCUGGUUGGCCUUACUAUUCGACUGAUAUGUUGGCCAAAUCAGGAGAGAAUGUAGAAGGGACAUUUGAAUGAUACUGAUUCUUCUGAUCCAUGAGUAAUGAAUAUCUUUCCAUUUUUUGGUGUCCUUGAUGAUACCUUUCAUCAAAGUUUGAAAAUUUUCAUUGUAGACAUCUUUCACUUCUUUCCUUAAAUUUAUUCCUAAAUAUUUGGAUUUUUGGUGGCUAUUAUGAAUAGGAUUUCUUUCUUGAUUUCUCUUUCUGUGAGUUCAUCUUUAGCAUACCAAAAAUCUGUAUUUUUUGUAUGUUUAUAACCUGCAACUUUACUGAAUUGGUUUAUCAAUUCUAACAGCGUUUUGGUGGAGUGUUUAGGUUUUUCCAUGUACAACAUCAUAUCAUCUGCAAACAUGGAUAAUUUGAUUUCCUCUUUUCUAAUUUUGAUGUCCUUUAUUUCUUUCUCCUCCCUGACUGCUCUUGUAAAAAUUUCCAGUACUAUAUUGAAUAAGAGUGGUGAAAGUGGACAUCCUUGUCUUGUUCUAGAUCUGAAUGGAAAUGCUCUUUCAGUUUUCUCCCAGUCAGUAUGAUAUGGACUGUUGGCUUGUGAUAAAUAGCUUUUAUAAUUUUGAGGAAUGUUCCUCCUAUAUCUAAUUUGUGGAGGGUUUUCAUCAUGAAGAGGUGUUGAAUCUUAUCAAAUGCUUUUUUUUUUUUUUGCAUCUAUUGAGAUGACCACAUAGUUUUUGUUCUUCAUUCUAUUGAUGUGAUUUAAGACAUUUAUUCAUUUGUGAAUAUUGAACCACUCUUGCAUUUCUGGGAUAAAUCCCGCUUGAUCAUGAUAUAUGAUCGUUUUGAUGUGGUUUUAGAUUUGAUUUGCUACUAUUUUGUUGAGAAUCUUUACAUCUAUAUUCAUUAAGGCUGUAGAUCUGUAAUUUUCAUGUUGUGUCUUUGUUUAGUUUUAGUAUCAAAGUAAUGCUGGCCUCAUAAAAAGAGUUUGGUAGAAUUCCAUCCUGUUCAGUAUUUUGGAAUAGUUUGAAGAAUAUUGGAGUUACUUCCUUUUUGAAUGCUUUAUAUAAUUCAGUAAUAAAGCCAUCAGGUCCCAGACUUCUCCUUGAUGGAAGACAUUUUAAUUACUGUUUCAAUCUCAUUGCUUGUUAUGGGUCUGUUUAGAUUGUCUGUAUCUUCUUGAUUUAAUUUUGGUAGGUUACACGAAUUCAGGAAUUUAUUUUUUUUAGGUUUUCUAGUUUAUUAACAUUUAGUUCUUCAUAGUAGUUUCUUAUGACUCUUUGUAUGUUAGUGGUGUCAGUUGUAGUGCCUCCUUUUUCAUUUCUAAUUUUAUUUGCUUGAGUUUUUUCUCUUUUUUCCUUUGUUAACCUGACUAGAGGUUCAUCUUCUUUGUUCCUUGGGUGUGUAUAUUUGUUCCACAGAGUUCAGUGUCAGUCUCCCUGGCAAAUAGGAUAGCCAGGGCCUUGUUCUUGGUGCUGAGGGAGACAGGAGUGGCUGCCACUUUCCUACUAGCAAGCCUGAGUGAUGCUGGAGCUUGGGCACAGAUUACUGUGGCGUGGCUCUAGGACUGUGUGAUAUGGAUGGACCCUUCCUCAGGUCCUGCUAGGAGAGUCCAACUGGUGCUGUGGCUUCUAAUACCAACAGUACUAGUCCUAGGACCAGGGGGUGAGAGUUGGAUUCUGUUCCAGUCCUGCAGGGUGACUAUAAGAUAUAUAUACAGGAUAUUUUACCCUGGAGGGUAUGAGUCCAGAGAGGUGGAAUGCAGAUAAGUUCUUCCCUAUGUCCAGCAGGUAGAUUCCGGUGACACCAAGAAAUUUAGAACAAGUGGUUACAGCCCUGGUAUUGCAGGGUGUAGUGGGGUCAUUCACUGGAUCUCCCAGUGUGGGAGCAGAUUUUUUUAAUGGGUUGCUUCUAGUGUUAGCCCCCAGAAGCUAAGGCAAUGUAGAGUGUAUGAGUGUAGCUCUGUGGCUGCUGCCCCAAAACUUCCACAGUUGCAAUAUUCAGGGGAUCUGUCCUUUGCCCCACCUGCUACCCUGACUCUGUCUAUGGUGCUGGUAGGAGAACAGAGGUAUGCUGCCUGACUUUUGGCUGCCUAGUAUGGUGCUCUGCAGGAGUAGGGGAAGGGAAGGAAGCAAGUCUGCUCCCGGCUCCAAGCCCUAUAGUUUCUUGGACCCCAGUCAACUCACCAGGCUGAAGUAAUGUCCGUGAGUGACUGUGGAAUUCCCUCUCUGCUAAACUGCAAGUGAGAGGGCACACAGCAAUUUCUGCCUACUUUGACAUGGUAAGAUGGCGGCUCACAGUGGCAGCUGCCUAUGCCUCGUGGCUCACUGCUGUGGUGUCUCUGUCUUCUCUCCUCUUGUCCCACAGAGUCAUUGUGGGUUUUUUUGUUUGUUUUCUUCACUUCUACAUUGAAAAUUACACCAGUUGCUCCCCUGUAAACAUAGUCCUUCCUUUGUUUUCAUAUCCCAGAGCAGCUUAUGUUAGUGUGGCUGUACCCUAUUCAGCCAUCUUGGCAACACAGUGAAGCAAUAUUGAUAACUAUAUACCAAAUGAUAUGCUAACCACAAGUUUUUAUGCUCUCUAUAUUAACAACCACAAAUAAGAGAAGAUGUGAUAUUUGUCUUUUUGGGUUUGGCAUAUUUCACUUAAAAAUUAGAAAAUACAGAGAAUAAAAAUGAAUAAAGGAAAAAGUCACCUAUAAUUUCACUGUCUUCAGAAAAAUCAUUGUUAACAUUUUCUAUAGUUUUCCCAGAAUUUUUAUAUGCAUAUUACUUCAGUCACUCAUUUAUUUUUUCAUUCAACAAAUAGAUUUUGAGCUGCUUAUCCAAAAUUAGGUGUAGCUAGAUACAUCAGAGUCUAAAAAAAAGUCAUAUCCAUCCAGGAGAUUAUACUGUGAUAAGAAGACAGACUCAGAAAACUAUGAAGCAAUUAAACAUUUUUUCCACUUAUAAUAAUGGCUAUUAAAGGAAAAUAUGGUAUACUAGGAGAAUGUUUAACAAGAGAGCAUGGGUCUUAGAAAAAUGGUC